rnacentral:rRNA from 1 species
AGAGUUUGAUCCUGGCUCAGGAUGAACGCUAGCUACAGGCUUAACACAUGCAAGUCGAGGGGAAACGACAUCGAAAGCUUGCUUUUGAUGGUCGUCGACCGGCGCACGGGUGAGUAACGCGUAUCCAACCUGCCCAUCACUUGGGGAUAACCUUGCGAAAGUAAGACUAAUACCCAAUGAUAUCUCUAGAAGACAUCUGAAAGAGAUUAAAGAUUUAUCGGUGAUGGAUGGGGAUGCGUCUGAUUAGCUUGUUGGCGGGGUAACGGCCCACCAAGGCAACGAUCAGUAGGGGUUCGUGAGAGGGAAGGUCCCCCCACAUUGGAACUGAGACACGGUCCAAACUCCUACGGGAGGCAGCA